AUUUAGGAAAAUUAAAAACAUAUAUCCAUGAAAAAAAGAGGAGUAAGUAAGCCACUAUAUAAAAAAUAAAAUGGGGGGAAAAAAAACCUAAACCAACAGUUUGGUUUUCUAUACUGUGGGUCAAAAGUCAAAAGUCCAAACAUGAAAUGGGCUCAUUACUGAAUACGGCCUUAUCCUUGGGUCUUUGGGUCACCAGAAAACCUGAUUUCUUCUCUUUUUUUUUCUUGGUCAAGAAAAACCCAAUUGCUGUAAUCCCCAAAAUCGAUCAAAACGAAAUCCCUAAACCUAAUUCUCCACCGCGACGUCGGUUGGGCUCCAAUCCAACGGUACCAAAUCGCCUUGACACUUCUAUCAGAUAAGUGAAGAGAGGCGAAAAGCACUGUACCAUCGUCUCAAUUUGUCCAAGCCAAGCAAGCAAGCACUACUGUUCCACUGGGUAUUUACAUGCAAUACAUAGGCCAAAGCGUUCGAUGAUGGCUAUUUUAUUUCUUCUGGCUGAUUUUUUUAACAAUAUGUACACUUUAUUUAUUGUAGUGGCUCCUUGCCAAAAGAAAAGAGUGGGGAGAAGUGGGAUAAGAGAUCAUGCCCCUUUAAAGUGCUUCAUAUAGGCCCAAUAUUGCAUUAAAAAACAAAUUAGCGUGAAAUAUUCAUAAACAAGGAUCAUCUG